AAGACCGUACUUUUUAGGAUCAUUUCUAUAGUACGCGUCCCGUCUUUGUUCUCUAACAUAGACAACAUUCACAACCACGAUGAUGAGUGGUAGUGCUUUCUUCUGAGCGGGAAGCAGAUUACUAAGGUUGCUUUUACAGUGACGUUAGUAAUUAUUGAUGACCGUUCCCUUUCGCUCUUCGGAGCAAUGGGAGGAAGAAGGCGCAUUCAGAGUGGUU
rnacentral:snoRNA from 1 species